AUCCAUAUGACGAGUACCAAAUAGGACGAAAUGCGCGUCCUGUAU
rnacentral:hammerhead_ribozyme from 1 species